rnacentral:rRNA from 1 species
GACGAACGCUGGCGGCGUGCCUAAUACAUGCAAGUAGGACGCAGUUGCGAACGGGAGAGUAACGCGUAGGUAACUACCUAUUAGAGGGGGAUAACUAUGGGAAACGAUAGCUAAUACCGCAUACUAGUAGAUGGACCUGCGUUGUAUUAGGUAGUCGGUUGGGUAAUGGCCUACCUAGGCAAUGAUACAUAGCCGGCCUGGGAGGGUGAUCCGCCACACUGGGACUUAGGCCAGGGCCCGACUUCUACGGGGGGGAGCAGGUGGGAAUCUUUGGCAAAUGGGGGAAACCUGACCGGGCCAAUCCGCGUGAGUUAAGGAAGGUCUCGGAUCGUAAAGCUCUGUUCUUAAGGAAGCGGUACUUAACCAGAAAGGGACGGCUAACUACGUGCCAGCCGCCGCGGUAAUUC